UACGUAGGGUGCAAGCGUUAAUCGGAAUUACUGGGCGUAAAGCGUGCGCAGGCGGUUCGCUAAGACAGAUGUGAAAUCCCCGGGCUUAACCUGGGAACUGCAUUUGUGACUGGCGGGCUAGAGUAUGGCAGAGGGGGGUAGAAUUCCACGUGUAGCAGUGAAAUGCGUAGAGAUGUGGAGGAAUACCGAUGGCGAAGGCAGCCCCCUGGGAUAACACUGACGCUCAUGCACGAAAGCGUGGGGAGCAAACAGG
rnacentral:rRNA from 1 species